rnacentral:rRNA from 1 species
AUGCCAUUCCUUUUCUUCCCCAGUGCUAGAUUUGACCAACUAGUCAGUCGUAUUCUGCUUGCUGGAUUGCCUGGCUGGUGGGGACACAGAUUGCCCUGCGCCUCCAUGGAAUCAGUUUGUUCUCCAUGGAAUAAAUGUGCCGAUUCUUCAUUUUCACCGAAAUGGCAACCAAGAUCUAGACUUUUGUUUUAUGCAUCCAGAAAUGUGAUUUUGUUGCGUAUCCGGUGGUACAAGAGUAGUUGGUGGCAACCCUUGUUUUUGUUGUCAGUACUACUUGAUUUGAUGAAAAUAUGUUUGGUUGAGCAAAACUGCAGUUGGCACUAUAACAGAUAA